rnacentral:RNase_MRP_RNA from 2 species
AAGCAUCAUGAAGACUUGCUUCUGAGCGACACACUGAGAACAAGUUUCUCUCCUCUGCUUGGUGGAAAGUCCCCGGACCCAGGGUAGAAAGUACCCAGCUGUAGCGGCUGUAACCUGCCCUGAUCCUGUACCAAGGCCAAGAUGUCCUCAGGACUGAGCCAUGGAGGGGCAGGCAUUAGUCAUAGCACAGUAAUGCAAGUGGCAUCCAGCAGGAUGCUAACAGAAUGGGGCUCACUCUCAAGAUGCU